rnacentral:rRNA from 1 species
GUUGGACGCUGGCGGCAUGCCUUACACAUGCAAGCCGAACGGUAACAGGUCUUCGGAUGCUGACGAGUGGCGAACGGGUGAGUAAUACAUCGGAACGUGCCUAGUAGUGGGGGAUAACUACUCGAAAGAGUGGCUAAUACCGCAUGAGAUCUACGGAUGAAAGCAGGGGAUCGCAAGACCUUGUGCUACUAGAGCGGCCGAUGGCAGAUUAGGUAGUUGGUGGGAUAAAAGCUUACCAAGCCGACGAUCUGUAGCUGGUCUGAGAGGACGAUCAGCCACACUGGGACUGAGACACGGCCCAGACUCCUACGGGAGGCAGCAGUGGGGAAUUUUGGACAAUGGGCGCAAGCCUGAUCCAGCAAUGCCGCGUGCAGGAUGAAGGCCUUCGGGUUGUAAACUGCUUUUGUACGGAACGAAAAGCCCCGGGUUAAUACCCUGGGGUCAUGACGGUACCGUAAGAAUAAGCACCGGCUAACUACGUGCCAGCCGCCGCGGUAA